rnacentral:rRNA from 1 species
UACGUAGGGUGCGAGCGUUGUCCGGAAUUAUUGGGCGUAAAGAGCUUGUAGGCGGUUUGUCGCGUCUGCUGUGAAAAUCCGAGGCUCAACCUCGGACUUGCAGUGGGUACGGGCAGACUAGAGUGUGGUAGGGGAGACUGGAAUUCCUGGUGUAGCGGUGGAAUGCGCAGAUAUCAGGAGGAACACCGAUGGCGAAGGCAGGUCUCUGGGCCACUACUGACGCUGAGAAGCGGAAGCAUGGGGAGCGAACAGG